rnacentral:rRNA from 1 species
UACGUAGGGUGCGAGCGUUAAUCGGAAUUACUGGGCGUAAAGGGUGCGCAGGCGGUCUCGUAAGCUGGGUGUGAAAGCCCCGGGCUUAACCUGGGAAUGGCAUUCAGGACUGCGAGGCUUUGAGUGUGGCAGAGGGAGGUGGAAUUCCUGGUGUAGCGGUGGAAUGCGCAGAUAUCAGGAGGAACACCAAUAGCGAAGGCAGCUCGCUGGGACGUUACUGACACUGAGGCGCGAAAGCGUGGGGAGCGAACAGG